AUCUCUGGUUGGAUAUACCUUCCUUGUGGAGUUUUCCCUUUGAGCUUAGAUCUUCAGAGACAGAAACAAAAGCCCACGUCCUUGUCAGAAGACAUCAGUGCAUCUUGCUCAGAGCUGACUAGAAGGCUUGCUGUGAGAAACCAUGGCAAAAUUAUUGAAUGAAGUCUUGUGCGUGCUUCUUGUAAACUUUUCCUGAUUUGCUGACGCAUCUCUAUUCCAUACUAAAUUGCUGCUCCAUGCAGCUAUUGAAAAUACCACUGAUACAGGUGGUACCUUCAAGCUGAAGGAACAAAAGGCUGUUAGAGAACUGUUGGCAGGAGAAAAGGCAGAAGAGGAGAGGAAGCAAAGUUCUUUUGAUGAGGCCUUGUAUUUCAAGUUUUCAGGUCUUUCAUAGGAAGCUGAUUAGUAAAGAUUGUCAUGGUUUGGGAUCACUUUUCAUUUUCAUUCUAAGGGAAGAUGUACUGUUAGAUAGUGUUAAGCUUCAAUGAAGAAUGAACUCUUCUUCCUUGGACCUUCUUGUCAUAUUUAGCACUUGAUAGAAAUGGUUUAACUUGUAAAUGACUUGUAAAUCUAGUCAUUGUCUUUCAGGUCAAGGAGUCCAAAAAUUAUGGUGGCCUGUUUUUGAAGAUAUUUGUUUCUGUUGCACUUGAAUCUUAGUAAUGAGUUGUAUUUAAGCUAUUGAACCUUCAAAUUGUUCCUUCCUUUGAGAGCAAAAAUGAUUAUGGUGAAAAGAAGCAUCUUCUUGGCUACUUUUUAAGAAAGGAGAACAGAAGGCUAAGAAUAAAUACAGAAUAGGCAGAAGAAGUGAAACCAGUGCAGCAAGGAAGAGAACAGAAUGGCCCUACAGGAAGAUCUGACCUAUCUGUAGAGAAUAGCUCAGAGAGACAUCUAGACUACAACAGGAGAAAACAUAAGGAUGGUGUGUUAUUCUAGUCUGAGCCUUAGUUACUAUGGUAUUGUCUGAAGUUCAGUGAAAUUGUGUUAGAUACCUUUGCAAAGGCUGUGCAUUAUGAGUUUCCACUCAAUGUAUAUGCUUUGAAGAGGUAAUUAAUGGUUGCUCUGUCUCAGAGAGCUUGGCUGCUUCUCCAUCCUGCACAUCCAUUCUCUUAGGCCAGCAGAACUGCUUACAUGUCCAGCUGGAGAGCAGAUCCACAUGAAGACAAACGUAGGGAGAAAAAGUUUACAGCCGGUUCCAUUUUCUGCUGUCUCAGUGACUGAGCUAGCUUGUGAUGGCUAAGAGAACUCAUCAUGCAUGUAAUAUGGUGAUACAGAUAUAUACACCUAGCGGGGAGCCUGCUGGUGAGGGCAUGUCUGCUGCUGGGUUGUGCAUGCAGCAGAGGUGGUGGGCAGACAGCUGGAGGUGGCAUUGUCGCAAACUUCUAUGCCAAGAUUUGCCACAGGAUGUUUUAAGGAGCCCCUGAUAUGCAGGGUAUCCUAAAGGACUCAACCACAGAAAUAUCAAACAAAUGUGAAAAAUGUAAAGGUGACAAGUGGAAAACUGUUAUCAGGGACUAAUGUUCACACGAUUUUUUUGAGUGACAGCUUUAUCCUUUGAUGUUUCUCUGAAGUACUAUCUUUUUCCUCUCUGCACUGGGGCUGAUGCUGUUUUUAUUUGGUAUUAUAAAUUAUGUAAAUUUUCUUUCCCAUUCAGGCAGAAUACAGUCCUUUUCCCUAGAACAAGUGUGGUUUUCUCUUUGCUAGAUGAGUUAUUCCAGCUAAUAUGAUAUAUACUUCAUGGGGUUUGUUCUCCUUUAAAAUUUGUUGGACUGAGAUUGGUUUGUUAUUCACAUAUAAUACAAGCUGGCAGGAGCCAUAAUACGGGAGCAUGAUUACACAGAAUAAUUCAUAUUUUUUUUCUUCUAGGCAAAUAGAUGCAGUUGGAAAGUAUCUCUGUUUUCAAGGAUGUCUGUCUUUGUUCAGUCUGUAGCAAGAAUGAUCUGUUGGAUUUUUAGGAUGGCAAGAGUGCAGGCAGCUGCUCUGGACAUUUCCAGACUCAAGAUAUACAGCAGAAAAGUUCAGUUUUGGUCUGCUGAAUAUAUUAAGAAUAAUAUAAGAAGGAAGAGCCACACGCUAGAAAUAGGAAAAUAUUACUUAGAUGAAUGAACAACAACAACAACAAACAGGAUGCUGGCUUUAAACCC
ensembl:lncRNA